UGCUAUACAUGCAAGUCGAGCGAAUGGAUUAAGAGCUUGCUCUUAUGAAGUUAGCGGCGGACGGGUGAGUAACACGUGGGUAACCUGCCCAUAAGACUGGGAUAACUCCGGGAAACCGGGGCUAAUACCGGAUAACAUUUUGAACCGCAUGGUUCGAAAUUGAAAGGCGGCUUCGGCUGUCACUUAUGGAUGGACCCGCGUCGCAUUAGCUAGUUGGUGAGGUAACGGCUCACCAAGGCAACGAUGCGUAGCCGACCUGAGAGGGUGAUCGGCCA
rnacentral:rRNA from 1 species